rnacentral:rRNA from 1 species
CGGCUAAACAUGCAGUCGAGCGGGGGAGGUUGCUUCGGUAACUGACCUAGCGGCGGACGGGUGAGUAAUGCUUAGGAAUCUGCCUAUUAGUGGGGGACAACAUUCCGAAAGGAAUGCUAAUACCGCAUACGCCCUACGGGGGAAAGCAGGGGAUCUUCGGACCUUGCGCUAAUAGAUGAGCCUAAGUCGGAUUAGCUAGUUGGUGGGGUAAAGGCCUACCAAGGCGACGAUCUGUAGCGGGUCUGAGAGGAUGAUCCGCCACACUGGGACUGAGACACGGCCCAGACUCCUACGGGAGGCAGCAGUGGCGAAUAUUGGACAAUGGGCGGAAGCCUGAUCCAGCCAUGCCGCGUGUGUGAAGAAGGCCUUUUGGUUGUAAAGCACUU